AACCUUGUGAAACUGAGCACACACGGAAAUUUUUAUCUGCGCAACACACGGAUUUACGUAACUAUCAAACAGCAGCUUCUAGGGGAAAAAACAACCGCGUCAGUAUCAGCUUUAUGUCAGGGCCUCUCGAGAUGACGUCAAAAAGUAGGAACGUUAUUUACUAAUAACUGACAGUGCUUAAAUAUUGUAUUUAUAUCUAAAGUUUAUAUAACUCAUUUUGUAUAUAUACAGUCGUAGCCAAAAGUUUUGAGAAUUACAUAAAUAUUGGAAAUUGGAAAAGUUGCUGCUUAAGUUUUUAUAAUAGCAAUUUGCAUAUACUCCAGAAUGUUCUGAAGAGUAAUCAGAUGAAUUGCAUAGUCCUUCUUUGCCAUGAAAAUUAACUUAAUCCCAAAAAACCUCUCCACUGCAUUUCAUUGCUGUCAUUAAAGGACCUGCUGAGAUCAUUUCAGUAAUCGUCAUGUUAACUCAGGUGAGAAUGUUGACGAGCACAGGGCUGGAGAUCACUAUGUCAGGCUAAUUGGGUUAGAAUGGCAGACUUGACAUGUUAAAAGGAGAGUGAUGCUUGAAAUCAUUGUUCUUCCAUUGUUAACCAUGGUGACCUGCAAAGAAACGCGUGCAGCCAUCAUUGCGUUGCAUAAAAAUGGCUUCACAGGCAAGGAUAUUGUGGCUACUAAGAUUGCACCUAAAUCAACAAUUUAUAGGAUCAUCAAGAACUUCAAGGAAAGAGGUUAAAUUCUUGUUAAGAAGACUUCAGGGUGUCCAAGAAAGUCCAGCAAGCGCCAGGAUCGUCUCCUAAAGAGGAUUCAGCUGCAGGAUCGGAAUGUCACCAGUGCAGAGCUUGCUCAGUAUGCGUAUGAAGUGCUUGUAAUCAUAUUUCAGUACAUCACAGAAACAACUGAAACAAAGAUCUAAAAGCAGUUUAGCAGCAAUAUUUGUACAUUGUACAACUAAUAUUUGUGUCAUUUUCAAAACUUUUGGCCACGACUGUACAGACAGAUACUGAAUUUUAUUUUAUACUGUAUGAUGAAGUCACUUAAAUUGGGCGAUGUUUUUAAGCAAAUUCUGUAAAGGCAUGAUAAAUCGACAAUAGGCAUUCUGCAUCAUUUUUCUCUAUUGCAUGAAUACGAAAGUAACUCUUUAAAUUCAAAUCCAUUUGCAAAAUGCCAUUGCCAGUGCAGAAAUGAAUGAGGAAUGUAAAGAGAGGCUGGAAACCCCCAAACACAAAACAACUGUACCUGCCCUGUUUACCAAGAAUAUUGCUGUAGUUGCUGAGUUAUAUAAACUCCUCCUAAUUUCUGGGCUGCUUUUGAUUGUGUGUGUGUGUGUGUGGGAUUGGACUGGACGGACCAACCUUUGGUCUCCGCAGAGACAAGCGAGCCUUGAGUGCCGUCUAUGAUCCUGUCACAAGUUUACUGGUGUAUAAUUUGUGAUUAGUGUUUAUAAAUUCUCCUGCCAAUGGUCAUAAUGUUAUGCCUGAUCGGUGUACAGGAUUAGUGAUUAUCCUUUAAAGGAUCAGCUUUUAAAACCUACAUAAGGUGGUCCUAAAGUACAAAACAAAGCAAUUUUUUCAGGAAAACAACAAUGACAUUUCACAAACCACAACCACACAAAAACAUUAUAUAUAUAUAUAUAUAUAUAUAUAUAUAUAUAUAUAAAAUGGGGUUGAUUUAAUUAGUGGAUAUUUUAUAUACAGUACUUUAAAGUAAUUUGUGACACCCUGUCAACGCAGCAUUAAAAUGUGCCUUAAAUUUAAAACAUUUUCUCACAUCACACAGCAAUACACUGUAUAAUAUGCCAUGAAAUUGUUGGGGCACCUGAAGUCCUUCACAAUUUUCCUGGCCUUGGUCCAGCACAGCUUGCUGUAGAUUGAGUGCAGGUCAGGGAGCUCAGUGCAAAUGAUUCGCUCACCACCCUCUGUAGAGUUAUCUUAUUCCAUCUUAUCAGUGUCCUCCAUGUAAUUUACUCGGGAUUGGACUGAGUUCCUUGAAGAAUUCACAUACUGUGAAUUCACUUAAUAAGGCACGCCAUUUUCAUUGAAAAAAGGCAUGUUGGGAGGAAGAACCAGGGCACUUUAGUUCAUAAUAAACCACUUAACCAUGAACAUUUACCACGACAGAGAUGCAGGUCAGGCUAACUCUGACUUGACUUGGUUGUGUUUCAUGAAAGGUUUUUGUGCUUUGGGAAAUAUUUUUAUAUUUUGUGAUUUUAUUUGAUUUUUUUGCAUUUUGUAAAAUAUUUUUGACUUUUGUGAAAUGUCGUGUUUUAGUAAAUGUCUUUGUGCUUUUCAAAGGUUUAAAAAAAAAGCCUAUAGAAUAACUGCAGACAGCAGUCACAACUGAAGCUACAAGUGAGGCCACCAAGUACAUAUCCUUUGUGAUUUUAUCUUGUGUUUAUUUUUCCAUGAAGAUAAAUUAUUUGUAAAUACUGGUGUGAGUAGUACCGUUGCAGUUAGAAGUAAGACAGAAUUCCUACUUGUUAGGUUAGACUAGUCUUCUCAACUAUGAGCUCUUUUACACAGUGAUAAAGCAGCAUGACUGCUCACAGCAUCAGAAUUAAACACUUCUUACCCUUAAAUGAAUAAUGAGUUUUGCUGUAGACAAGUGAUGCCCUUGAACAUACAGACAGUCCGAGAGUCAAAAUCGAUCAGAAAUCAAGUGACUGGAAAUGUGGCCAAUAUGGUGUAUAUGAGUUGUAGUCCAAUACUGUAUGUUCAUAUUUGUGGGCAGCAGUGCAUUGUGGGAAAUGAAGUUCAGUGCAGUUUGGCAGUUUUAUGAAGUGAUUGGUUAGUAACAUUGACUGAUUGAUAAAUUAACAUUUAAUUAUCAUUCUUAAUUUGAGUUUUCUUUUGGUUAUCAGAGUUUGCAUUAGCUACAUUAUAUACAGUCAAAACAGCUGACAGGGUUAAGCCUUAAAUACUUUUUCUUUUUAUGAUGCAUUCACAUUUCUUUAUACUUUGUUACAUCAAGCUCCUGCGACUGUGUGAACAUAAAUGGAGUUCAUAUUUUUUUUAAACCACUGUACUUGAUUAUUUUCUAGAAACAACUUACAGGUAUGUAUUUAUGACUGAUGUUCUUUUCUAAAAUGUCUGCUUUACAUUUCAGAUACUUCAACAACAAACCUGACUGACUGACAAAAAUUCAAAAUGUCUCAUGAAAUUGUAAAAUGAUUCAUAAGGUGCAUCAGCAACUCUUUCCAGAAAUCUAUUUUUGAAGUAAACCAAAACCUAAGCUGGGUGAAACUUGACUGAAAACAGAUGACCUAAACACAAAGCAGUGUGUCAGGACAUGAAGUGUGGGGAUGAAACAUGAAACAUUAUGAAAACCUCCAUUCAGCACUUUCACAAUGAUUUCUAUUUUGGAGCAUACUUUUACUGUUGCUAUGAUUUUCUUUCUCAAUUUUGAACUGUAUUGCUGCCCGUGUGGACGAGCUGAAUAUGAGACAAGUGGAGAAUGCUGUCCCAUGUGUUCACCUGGUAACCGAGUUUAUAGACAUUGCACUGAAUUCACCAGCACAACCUGCAUGCCAUGUGUUGACUUGACUUACACUGAUGAGCCCAAUGGUCUUUCAAAGUGCAUUAGCUGUACAAUGUGUGAUACGGGUGCAGGAUUAAGAGUUAAAACACCCUGCACACGAAUUUCAAACACAGUUUGUGAGCCACUAGAGGAUUUUUAUUGCAUAGAUGAGGAAAGGGGCAGGUGUAGACAAGCUGUAGAACACACAAAAUGCAAGCCUGGACAAUACAUAAAGCAGAAAGGAACAGCAGUUAGUGAUGUUGAAUGUGCAGUUUGUCCAGAUGGCACCUACUCCAAUGGCUCCCUUCAGAUUUGUCAACUUCAUACAAACUAAGACGUACACCACACAUUAAAAUUUAUUUUGAUAGGUGUGAAGAUUUGGGACUUCAAGAAAAGAGAAGAGGAACAAAUUCCUUUGAUGUUGAAUGUGGACCAAAAGCUCCAGUAGCUCUAAUAAAUGUGAUCAUAGUUAUAGGAGUGUCAAUAGUUUUGGUUGUACCUGUUCUUUAUAAAAAGAUUUACAAAACAUCUACCUAGAGGUUGUCCUGCUAAGAAGAUACGACUUUUGGGCAACCAGACAAAUGAUCCUCAAAUCUGGCAAAGUUUUGAUUCAUGUAAUUUUUCUCCACAGUGGACAUCCGGCUUCUCCAGUUGAAAAUGACUGUGGAAAACAAUAUUGUAAACACCUACUGCAUAUGGUGUUACAUGAAUACAUGAGUACUGGAAAGAAGAUGCACGGAUGGUAAUGACGCUAAACAAUGUGAUUGUCCUGUAUGCUACGGUAAAGACAUUAAGGAACAUUUACCUCAAUGCAGGGAUGUAGCCACUUUCUUCAUUAAAGAAAGGGUAUAUUUUAGAUUAUUAGUGUGUAAUUAAUACAAGCAAAGAUUUGUUGUGGUUGUGUGGGACAUGUUGGAACGUACAGACCAGCUGUAUUGACCUGUUUCAAUCUGAUCACUGUUUGUCUGGUGGUUGCCAUAUUUAAGACCAUCAUGUUUGGCCAAUGGACCAAAGCAUCUGAAAAUAGAUGCACCAACCCCCAAAAUCUAACAAUCGCAGACAUCUCCAUUUAAUCGAUAGUCCGUCUUCAUACACUGAGAAAAAUCUGAGCGCGCAAUACCCUGCUGGCUAGAUAGAUAUAAAUUAAUUCGGGUAAGUAAAAAACAGUUUAAACUCAUAUCUUUUAGAAAUAGAGAAAAAAAAACUUUUAAUCAUGUUACUUGCCAGUUCAUACUGAACAUUGAACUGUGUAUCCUGGGUAGAUAUGUAGAUAUGGCCAGUAACAGACUGCAUCACACAUAAAAUAUGCCACGUCUAGAAAAAGCUCUGUUUAUCGUAUGUAGCAUCCACAUAGGUAGUGUUCUCAUGUAUAGCUAAAAUAACUAUCCUGCAAACUUAUCUAAUAUUAAGUGGCUGCUGAAAAAACAUUUAACUGAUAAUUGUCUUGUUGCAAUUGAAACAUAUAAUAGUUUUUUUUAGCUGCUGUCAUGAUGUCCCACAGUGCAACACAUUAAACACAUAUUGAUCCCAAGCACAGACUCCAAUUCCAUUCAAUUCUACUUUAUUUAUAUAGCGCUUUUAACAAUGGCCAUUGUUGCAAAGAAGCUUUACAAAAUAAAAAGAAAUAUGGAAAUGAAUUCCAGUUCCAUUAAUAUGGCAGUGUUUAUAUACUGCCAGUGUAAGCAUGGCAGUAUAUUCAGUCAUAAACAUGGCAGUUUGGUCAAACAGUAAUGUCAGAUGAAACUGAUCAAAACAAAACAGACCAAGUAAUGAGGAUGCAUGCAGAUCAAAGAUGCAUCAACAUGAAUUUAUGAACAUGGAUAUUAUGAAUAUAACUAUCUUACAUAAGCAAAGAGGAAAGAGUUUAUUAUUAACCAUGUUUUAUCAACUUUCCAUAAUGAAGCACUUUGCACAAACCUUAGCUAAGACAUUAAGAGUAUUAUGAUUCUAAUCCUGCAAGAUUUGUUAAAAUGACGGGCACAAUUCUUUCAUAAUGUAUUUAUAGACAGGAGACAGGAUACCUUUGGGGGUUCUAGUUUUCUGGCCGAAUUGUAAGUAAGUUAAGGCUAAAAUGUUCUAGCACCCUCAGAACUGGCACAACCUCUUACGUUGGUGUUUAUUGAUUAAAGGAUAUGUUGAUUUAAAUUUCAAUAAAUCUAAAUAACCAUCAGUCAAGUGUUGACCAUCUUUCUGGGGGGAUGCUACAUUUUGUUUAAACAUUUAAAAGAAUGCAAGUUGAAAAUACACAAAGGCCACUACACUUAAAGGAAUUGACAAAAAAAAAAAUACAAUAUAAGAGUCAUUUCUGUUAGUGGUCCAGUACACAUUCUAAAGGAAAUGGAAAAACAGCAGUUUAUGUUUUCAUGUUAAAUCCUAAGUGUAUAUAUAUAUAUAUAUAUUGUGAUGAUAUCAACUGAUUGUACCUGUUACUCUAGGAAGCCACUAGAGGGCAGUAUGUUCAGUGUUGUGUUGAAUACUAAGGAAUGAGGAUAGAAGAAAUAAAAAAGACACAAACAU